AGUAAUUUUUUAGUUGUACUUCGGAGUUAAGAAAAAAAGAUGCCUUUGUUUUCCAUUAGACUCAGUAGAAUACCGUCGGUUUCACGGCAUCAGAGUAAAAUCCCUGCAGUUCGAUGGUGAGGUGGCCCUUGUCGUUUUCUGUGUGGUGGCAGAUAAUGAUCCAUUUAUCCUGGCAAAAUUCGUUGUUCUUUAGAACAUGAAAGCAGGAUGCUGCUAUGACCUGACUCGGGACUGGUUAGAGAGAGAGUGAAGUCUGUGAUAAGAGAAAGCGCCAACGGCUAGUAUCCCGCCGUUGACUGGUUACCGACGUUCACAACGGCUAGUAUCCCGCCGGAGCACCUCUCGGCGGUACGGGGUUUUCCCGGUGUUGCGGGAGACCGGCCACCUAAGGUCUUCGGGCGG
rnacentral:lncRNA from 1 species